CUGACCAUAGGAUCAUCAUGAGGAUGGUGAUCAAUCUAGAAGGUUGGCGUACGAUUGCUUCCUUAGGAUAGAUGUGUCUUGAGUCUAUGGUGUAGAGACACCGAAGUGAGAGUACAGGUAUUCGUGGAGAACGAGAGUACUGAGCGUGACCACCUCGAGCAGUCAUAAGAAAAUCUACCUUCUCGUCGAUGACUAGCUCGAUGCUGCAGCUAUGUGUCUAGUUCUUUGACCUGAGGUACAUCGACAGUUCACCUUGAGUGUGUUAUAGUUUGACUAUACCAUAACUCGGUCUCCUAGCCAUUCGGAACCCUGAGGUGUAUGUUGGCUGUAGCAUAUUCAUUGUAGGAACUAGAUUGCACCAAGAUGGGAUCUAUCAACCUUGGUAGAUAAGCGGAGUAGUCUUAUGAUGAUCGAAAGAUUGAGUUCUUAAGCCCAUGGCCAUGGCAGAGUGAAAUAAUGAAAAAGAGUUUCAUUAAGGUUUCACAUCGAACUUGGAUCGAUCGAUUGAUUCAUAUGAUUGAUGUUGGGUUUGACGAGUUCACCUUAACCUUAAUUCAGUCGGGACUCAUGAUAGAGGAACUCAAUCACACAGGUAGCUGCACCGAGAGGUUCGUCUUCAUUUCUGAUGGAUUGCCACCAUAUACUGCUAGGUGUCACUGGUGGAUUUUGGGAGCAAUUAGAAUGAUCUUGAUGAUCGAUCAUUCU
rnacentral:lncRNA from 1 species